GGGUGAAAUUCGGGGUGGGUCGUGUCAAUACUUACUGGGUUAGUGUAACUCAUGAUGCUACACAUUUAUAUUUUUCAUGUAACGAGUAUAUUCCUGGGGAUGGGGUGAAACGACGUAAACUUAACAAAGAAUGUUUUAUAUUUCUACUUUAUUUUCAUCACAAUAAAUCUUUAUUUGUGUUUACAAGAUUUAUCGAUAAUCUCAAUCGAUGUAAAAAAAAAUAGUUUGUUAUAUCAAUCGAAAGUUUUACUUAGAACUAUUCUCUUACUUUCAAGUUUUAUUAUUGUUUUACGGCUCACGUCACAAGUUCACAAGCCAUAUUUCAGUAUAAUAUUGACCUUGAAUUUGGGGGCGUGACACGGGGUGUAUCAUUUAUGCUCCUCCUCCUUUGUUCUUUUUGCUGGCUUUAGCCUUUCAGGGGUGUCCCAUUCUUCUUCUUUCCUCUUUUUUGCCCCACGCUUCUCCAGGUUGAUGUUUCUUUCAAUCGAACCAGUCUCCAAAAUUUGUUUUGAGCCCUUCUGCUUGCCAUAUUUCUUGAGCCCUUCUGCUUGCUAUCCUUUAUUCUUCAAGAUGGUUUCUUCAUUCAUUUUUGUUUCGGCCAUUUCCACAGCUUGAGCAACAAGUUUGUCUAGUUGUGACAGGUUGACAUCGGUCGUCACAGGUUCAUCGUCUUCUGGAAAUAUCUUUUGCAACGACUCUGGUUCUGCUGCUUGUUCAAAAAACUACACAAAAGAAAACACACAAGUUAUCCUCAAAAAAAUGAAGAAAACACAAUAUUUAUUGGGGGUCAGUAAACAGAUUUCUACUCUUACCUCUUCAGUUCCUGGUUGCUUCUCUCUACAGCUAUUAUCUUCCAUUUUGUCUCUACAAUUAUAUUCUUCCUGUUCAAUCGGCUUUGACUUAUCCUCCUUCUCCUCUUUCUCCUCAGUUACACAUAUUAUCUGUCUUGUCUGAGCAUGUUUUGCCGCCUUGUGCAACUGUUUCUUGAGAGCGUUGAUUUGAUUUUUGUCUGCCCUCCUUUCUUUCUCUAGCUCAAUGAUUUGGUUGUCCGCUUUCUUUAACUUGCCGAGCAAUUCAAUGUUUUUGUUCACCAGUUCUUCAUUUGCUUUGGCAAGUUGUGUCAGCUUCUUCUUCAUAUCUUCCAUCGGCAGCUCCUGUACACGUUAUAACAACGACAUCGUUACUGUUAAACAAUUAUAUCCAAAUAAACAAGUUUAUUGCCCCCCAGUAAACAACAAUACAUUAUCUCUCUUUCAAUUUCAUGGCAAUUACACAUAACAUAUACCCUAAUAAACAAUUUUAUUGCCCCCUAGUAAACCCAUUAGAAGUUUACUGCCCCUCAGUAAUCUUCUACUAGGGGUCAGUAAACUUGCAAUUGAAGUUCCAUUUUCAUUGCCAAUAGUUUUACUGGGUGUUAGUAACCAUUCAAACUUACCCAAUCAAUUGUCCUUGGUGUUCCAUUGUCAUCUGGUUGCCGCUCAUCACUGCCGGAACUUGUUUCCUCCUCAUCCAUCCAUAGACCUUCUAUUAUGGGUUCCUGUUUUUACAUUUAUAAGACACAAAUAAGUUUAAUUUAGUUUUUCGAAAAACAAAAUUUUAUCUGUGCAAUAUUUUUAUAAAAAAAAAAUGGCUAUAUAAAUAAAAUACCAUUACCUCUAGCAAUUCAGGUCUUCUUAAAUACUCCUUUUCUUUGAUGAUCUCUUGUAUUGACCAUCUUAUAAAUCUGGGAGUCUCCUUCUCUUUCCCGAUAAUCCGCUUCUUUAUUUUUGUUUUCUCAAGGAACCAGUAUAGAACCAGUAGGAGGCAUCCGUUCAAAACUCUUGGCUCCCCCCUUACGUGCUUGUGAAGUCCUUGGUUGGUGCAAGAAUUCUAAUACCUUAUGUGACCAGUUGUAUUUAUCGAUGCCUUCAAGGUCUUCACACUUAAUGAGUAUCAGUUUCCAUUCAAUGUGGUUCCCGCUUCUGCUGAAAAUAAAGUUGCCAUAAGGUACAUUAUAACCAAAGAGGCUAUCUUCCUUGGAUCCGCCUUCUUCUUCUGAAUCUUACUAAGCUCUUCCGUUAAUGUGUCAUCAAUAACCUUUCUGGUGAUUGUUCUUCUUGUUUGUUUUCCAAAGACAGCAGAAUCUACCACAUUCUUCUUGCCCUUGCAGUAUUUUUGGUCUAUUGUGACAUCCACAUCCGAGCCUUCUUUGGUUAUUCCAAAAAUUGAAUGAACAUCAUGCUCCGUAAUUUCAAUCUCCCUGCUCCCAAAAAUGAAGUUUUUAUUGUCACUGUUGUAGUGCCUCAUUAGGAUCUCAAAACCAAAUUCAAGCUUCUUCACUUAAUCCUCCUCAACCUUGCCCAAUCUGAAUGCUUCAAUUAUUCCCCGAAAACAAGUGUUGUUUAUCAACUCCCAUGAUUCUUCUGGGAUGCUCUCCUUGACUCUAUUCAUUAACGUAGAAAAUGAUGUCAGUGAGCACUUUUGCUGCACGUGUUUGAUCUUGGUUAAGUCACAUUCUCCUCAUUUUUCCUUCUUCUUUCUUCCCUUUUCUUCGUCCUCCUCCUCCCCUGAAUCUAUCUCCGCUUGUUUUCUUUUUAUGCCUGUUGGUCUUUUCUGAAAAAGAUACUUUUCUAUUUCCCCCUCUUCAUCUUCAAUGUAAUCAUCAUCUUCUUCUUCUUCUUCAGCAGCGUCACCCUUCUGGACCUCUUUUCUCAUUUUCUUCGACUUUAUCUUCUGUAAAACUUCUCCUAAAUUUGUUAUGUCCUUAUAGAAGCUACAGAUUCUUGAACCGAAUCCUCUUCGGUAUCAGAAUUCACAACUAAAUGUCUUGAACUUCUUCUCAUUCUGCAUUUAAGUAGUAAAAACUUGCAUUUAUAAACUACAUAUGUAAAAAAUAAAGUUUACUGCUCCCCAGUAAACUUCUACUGGGGAUUAGUAAACUUCCAAAAAAUAACUCUCUUUCAAUUUCAGGGGCACAACACACAACAGAUACCCAUUAUUACCCUAAUAAACAAUUUUAUUGACCCCUAGUCAACCUAGUAGAAGUUUACUGCGCCCUAGUAAACUUCUACUGGUGGUCAGUAAACUUCAAUACAGUAUCUAAAAUUCAAUUUCAUGUCAAUUAUACACAACAGAUACCCAUUAUUAUCUAAAUAAACAACUUCAUUGCCCCCUAGUAAACCCAGUGGAAGUUUACUGCCCCCCAGUGAACUUCUACUAGGGGUCAGUAAACUUCAAUACAGUUUCUCCCUUUCAAUUUCAUGCCAAUUAUACCCAACAGAUAGCCAUUCUUACCCUAAUAAGCAACUUUAUUGCCCCCUAGUAAACCCAGUGGAAGUUUACUGCCCCCCAAUAACUUCUACUUGACAAGAGUAAACAACAAUACAGUAUCUCCCUUUCAUUGUCAUGCCAAUUAUACACAGUAAAUCUUAGAAAAAUCAACUUAAGCAACAUUAAUCCCAAUCUGUAAAAGUUAUGACCAGAGAAACCUUAUAAUUUUCAUGUUUUCAUAUUCAUGGCCUUUAAUCGCUUUAAAUCAGAGAAUCAAGCUUCACGAACGACGGAGUCGACAGAUAUUUAACGAGAGAGCGACAUGGCCUGAUCGAUGGAAUCACGGAGAUCGUGAAGAACCCUAAACCAGAGAUCGUUAUCAAGUGUUAGAGAGAGAGAGGCAGAGAGAGAUAGAGAGAGUGAGAGAGCUGAGAGUUCGGUUGAUCGUGAAGAUCAGUGGAAGUCUGGGAGAACGUUGUUUUUUUUUUUAUCAUGAGAGAGAACGUGUAAUUAAUUAAUGCAAUAAGGGUAUAAUUGUUAGAAGCGUUAAAACAUUAAUAUGGGUUACUCAAUAGUUUUUUCAUUAAAAUGACCUUUAAAAUCCCUGUUUUUGAGUAAAUGAUCAUUUUCCCAAAAAAGUAUAUAUAUAUCUAUUUCAUGUUUAUUAAUAACGAUUUUUUUAUUAUAUAUUUUUAUUGCCUGUUAUUACAGUGUACAAUAUGGACAAGUGCUUGAUGCAAUUAGGGAGAGGGUCCCCUCUUUAUAUGAGAGACAUUUUUGAUUUUCUUGAGUUCGUGCGUCUACAUAGUCCUCCAGACAAAGUUAUUCAUAUAUGUCCGUGCAACAAAUGUCUCAAUCGGAAACCAGUAACAUAUGAAGACAUGUAUUCUCACCUGACACUAAACGGUAUUUGUCCUAGUUAUACCACAUUGACAUGGCACGGCGAAAAUCAAGUUCAAAUGCCUACACUUAUAGAAAUUCAAGCACAACAUAAUCAGCAGGCAGGAUCUUCCAAUGCUAGUUACGGGGACCCUGCUGUGAUGAACCUCUUAAACGAUGUCUUCUCGUUCGCUGCCUCAGGAUAUCAGCAAAAUGUUGUUUAUGACAACGCCCUGACACCUUCCCUAAUGUCUCCCACAUUGACUACAGCAGUGAUUAUGAUAAGAACAACAGGCUUAUACGGGAAGUAUAAACCCCAUUGUAUCCUGGCAGUGAGCAUACUGUGUUGGGUACCGUCAUGGAGGAAAUGCAGAUAAAAAACAAGCGGGGAAAGACUAACAUACGUUUUGAUGAGGAUAUUGCACUUAUGAAGAAAGUGCUUCCCAAAUGUAACAGUUUUCCGGAAAAUUUCAACCAGGUAAAAAGGAUGUUGGCUGACCUCGGUCUUGAUCACCAGAAGAUAGACGCUUGCGUCAAUAACUGCAUCUUAGGAUGAAGUUGAGUGCCCACACUGCUACGAGCCAAGGUAUGAAGCUUCCACUUAAUCUAAACAGAAAAACCGGCCCAUUCCUAGAAAGGUUCUUCGUUACUUCCUGUUAGGUCCUCGUCUGCAGCGUCUGUACAUGUCUUCACAUAUGGCCAAGCAUAUGAGAUGGCACCAGGAAAGGCACCAGGGAGAGGAGAGGAUAGAUCCGAAUAAUCUCACACACCCCACAGACGGGGAGGCUUGGAAGCACUUUGACCGCUCUUUUCCCGAAUUUGCUGGAAACUACCGAAAUGUCAAACUCGGAUUUGCAACAAACGGAUUCAAUCCUACUAGAAACAUGAAUUUGUCUUAUAACAUUUGGCCUGUGAUAGUAUUUCCAUACAAUCUACCUCCCAACAUGUGUAUGAGGAAAGAGUACAAUUUUCUUACGCUUAUGGUUCCAGGGCCGUAUUCUCCAGGAAAGUGCUUGAAUAUGUACAUGAGACCAUUAAUUGAUGAGCUGCAGGAGUUAUGGGAAAAUGGACUCCCUAUUUUUGACAGGCAUGGCCAAACUUCAUUCAUGAUGAAAGUGUUGGAUCAUAAUUCAUAGAUAAUUUUGUGCCCUAAUCCUUGAGAAUUACAUGUUCUAAAGUCCAUUUUGUUGUCAACUAAUCCAAUUCCUUGUUCUAUAGAAAAUAUUGACAAGAGAAGAGAAAUGGUGAAAUUCCGGUAAUUUUCCAAGCACCACCACUUUUGGCGGCACAAGUGGCGGCGCACCACCACUUUUGGUGGUGCCAUACAUUUUCCGGCCAAUUUCAUGGAAGAGGAAAGGUGGAGAAGUCUUGUUCUAUCACAACUAGUUCUUAACCUUUUGGUUAGAUUUCAACUCCAACACAUUUCACUCUUUCCCACCAUAAUCAUCACUUCCCUAUUUUACCCAGAAGUCCAUCAUAAUUCCAUACAUAUAUCUUUCAUGUUUUUGUGUUACACCACUUUUUCCUACACCAUUUUUCCCAUCAUUACCUAUUAGCCUAUCACUUCUCUCCUCUAUCACCUUUUGCUUGCUUUUUGGGGAAAUUNNNN
rnacentral:lncRNA from 1 species